GAGUCCUCCGCCCUUCGCGCCCUCCUCCCUGCUUCGUGCCGUCGACGCCGGCCAUCGUCACAUCCGCCUCCACGCGCCGCCGACCCGGUUGGAUCCGGCCUCCCCCGCCGCCACCCGCCGCGCACUGCCGCCGGUUCCGGCCGCCGGUACCCUCUCUCCCGCCGGUAAGUCUCUCUCUCUCUGUGAUUGAUUUCUCGGCCGUUUGUUCCAGGGACGGAUUCGGCGUUCCCCGGCCUCUACAUCGCCGGAUUCGGCCUCCCCCCACCUCGACGCGCGGAUCUGGCGUUCCCUGCCCUUGACCAAGGAGCCGCUGCCAUGGAGGGAGGCGCUCUCCUCUGCCGCCAUACUGCCAUGGAGGGCGAUGUGGCUGGAUCAGGCUAUGGAGAGCUUCGGCUUUUUUUUCGUGAUUUUUUUGCGAUUUUUUCCUGCUGUAAUCCAUGAUCUGGGAUGCUUAUUAAUCUGUGAUUUGCGAUAUGUUCUGGUCGGCAAUGAUGAAAAUAUGCAGGCCUGGCGAUCUAUGAUUUGUGAAAUUCGCAGGCCACGGGCCUGCUUUUCUUUCUGUUUGCAGCCAGCUAGCUAAGGUAGGCCGAUGGAUGGAGACCGUGAAGCGAACCCCCAUUCAGGGCAACACAGCGAAACUUGUCUCUGGUUGCGUGCUUGCUUGCAUUUGCAUCCUCGAUCAUGGAUGAUUUGUUUGUAGCCAGCACCACCGCCAAGAAACGCCAAACAUUUGGGUAUGCACUUUUGGCCUAAAUAAACACACGCUUAUAAUUGGAACACAUAAGCAAAAAUGAGCAACUCUUCUCUGCGUACUUUUUUUUUGGUCAUGUAUGAUUUUUUGAUCAAAAAGCCUAACUAAACGGGUGCAUCUCGAAGGACAUUAAGCUAGAGGUGAAGCUGGUCGCCGGAGCGAUAGCUAAAUGCUCAAGAGAAAAUCAAUAUUUUUUUUGCCGAAUGUGACA
rnacentral:lncRNA from 1 species